rnacentral:rRNA from 1 species
UUGCUCGAGUGGCGAACGGGUGAGUAACACGUGAGUAACCUGCCCUUGACUUUGGGAUAACUUCAGGAAACUGGGGCUAAUACCGGAUAGGAGCUCCUGCUGCAUGGUGGGGGUUAGAAAGUUUCGGCGGUUGGGGAUGGACUCGCGGCUUAUCAGCUUGUUGGUGGGGUAGUGGCUUACCAAGGCUUUGACGGGUAGCCGGCCUGAGAGGGUGACCGGCCACAUUGGGACUGAGAUACGGCCCAG